AUUGAACGCUGGCGGCAGGCCUAACACAUGCAAGUCGAGCGGUAGCACAGAGAGCUUGCUCUCGGGUGACGAGCGGCGGACGGGUGAGUAAUGUCUGGGAAACUGCCUGAUGGAGGGGGAUAACUACUGGAAACGGUAGCUAAUACCGCAUAACGUCGCAAGACCAAAGAGGGGGACCUUCGGGCCUCUUGCCAUCAGAUGUGCCCAGAUGGGAUUAGCUAGUAGGUGGGGUAACGGCUCACCUAGGCGACGAUCCCUAGCUGGUCUGAGAGGAUGACCAGCCACACUGGAACUGAGACACGGUCCAGACUCCUACGGGAGGCAGCAGUGGGGAAUAUUGCACAAUGGGCGCAAGCCUGAUGCAGCCAUGCCGCGUGUAUGAAGAAGGCCUUCGGGUUGUAAAGUACUUUCAGCGAGGAGGAAGGCAUUGUGGUUAAUAACCACAGUGAUUGACGUUACUCGCAGAAGAAGCACCGGCUAACUCCGUGCCAGCAGCCGCGGUAAUACGGAGGGUGCAAGCGUUAAUCGGAAUUACUGGGCGUAAAGCGCACGCAGGCGGUCUGUCAAGUCGGAUGUGAAAUCCCCGGGCUCAACCUGGGAACUGCAUUCGAAACUG
rnacentral:rRNA from 1 species